rnacentral:rRNA from 1 species
CCAAUAGCGUAUAUUAAAGUUGCUGCAGUUAAAGAGCUCGUAGUUGAAUUUCGGGAUCAAUAUGUUGGUCGUGCCUCGGUACGUACUGGCUUAUUGGUUUCUCCCUUCUAACGAACCAUGAUGUCAUUUAUUUGGUGUUAUGAGGAAUCAGGACUGUUACUUUGAAAAAAUUAGAGUGUUUAAAGCAGGCUCACGCUUGAAUACAUUAGCAUGGAAUAAUGAAAUAGGACGUUUGAUUCUAUUUUGUUGGUUUCCAGGAUCGACGUAAUGAUUAAUAGGGAUAGUUGGGGGCAUUAGUAUUCAAUUGUCAGAGGUGAAAUUCUUGGAUUUAUUGAAGACUAACUACUGCGAAAGCAUUUGCCAAGGAUGUUUUCAUUAAUCAAGAACGAAAGUUAGGGGAUCGAAGACGAUCAGAUACCGUCGUAGUCUUAACCAUAAACUAUGCCGACUAGGGAUCGGAUGAUGUUAAUUUUUUAAUGACUCAUUCGGCGCCUUAC